CCUGAGUGGACAGUGUGUGGACAAGUUCACCAAGUCUGAUACUGAACGGCUGACAGGUUCUAGAUAAGAGGCCUGUGUGAGUGGAAGCUCCAGACGAAACCUGAGAACAUGGGGCCCAAGGAUCUAAGUCCACAGUGGUUUCAUUCGUCAUUCUGCUGGACUUUGGUUGUGUUGGUCAUUUUUACAUCUGUUCCCUGCAGUGGUUUCCAGUUGAACUGCUCGGAGCCCAGCCAGCCCACCCUUCUCAAAGCUCUGGAUCCUGUCUUUAAUCUGAAGGCCAUUCGACC